rnacentral:rRNA from 1 species
GCCAAGACGUAAAACUACUCACACCCCAAAACGCCAGGGUAUUACAAGCUUAGCUUUAAACCCAAAGGACUUGACGGUACCCUAUUCAACUAGAGGAGCCUGUUCUAUAAUCGAUAAUCCACGAUAUACCCGACCAUUUCUUGCUUUCAGCCUGUAUACCUCCGUCGUAAGCUUACCCUGUGAACGUAUAUAGUAGGCUCAAGAACCAAACGCCACAACGUCAGGUCAAGGUGCAGCUUACGAAAUGGAAGUAAUGGGCUACAAUUUCUAACCAGAACAAGCAAAACACUAUGUGAAAUAUAGUUACAAGAAGGAUUUAGUAGUAAAUAGGGAAUAGAGAGCCCUAUUAAAUUCACCCCGGGGUGCGU